rnacentral:lncRNA from 1 species
AAGCACAACCAAGGAGGCAGGUUAUAAGGAAUUAGGAUCACUGGCCAUGUAGUGUAAGUCACAUUCAAAAUUCCAAAUGGAUUGAAGCCAUCUGAUGCAAGUCCCACCCAAACAUUAUAUGGAUCACUUGCAAAUGCACUAUACUUGGCAUCUACGUACCUCCAUGCCUUUGAGUUAGCUGGGUGCCGCACUUUCCCAUCUUCAACCAAUUCUUCCUUGUGCCAACGCAUAUGCGCCGAUGUGGUCUCGUUCAUAUAUAAUCUCUACAGUCGAGGAAUAAGUGGAAAUACCUCAGAGAUUCUUCUUUACUCCACCAAUGCCAUCACCACCACACUCUAAAUAUAUAUUUUUCCACCUACUCUCCC